GCUGGGCGUGGUGGUGCACGCCUGUAAUCUCAGCAGCUUGGGAGGCUGAGACAGGAGGAGUGUAAGUUCAAAGCUAGCUAAGCAACUCAGUGAGACCCUGUCUCUA
rnacentral:sRNA from 1 species